rnacentral:rRNA from 1 species
GAUGAACGCUGGCGGCGUGCCUAAUACAUGCAAGUCGAGCGAACAGACGAGGAGCUUUCUCCUCUGACGUUAGCGGCGGACGGGUGAGUAACACGUGGAUAACCUACCUAUAAGACUGGGAUAACUUCGGGAAACCGGAGCUAAUACCGGAUAAUAUAUUGAACCGCAUGGUUCAAUAGUGAAAGACGGUUUUGCUGUCACUUAUAGAUGGAUCCGCGCCGCAUUAGCUAGUUGGUAAGGUAACGGCUUACCAAGGCAACGAUGCGUAGCCGACCUGAGAGGGUGAUCGGCCACACUGGAACUGAGACACGGUCCAGACUCCUACGGGAGGCAGCAGUAGGGAAUCUUCCGCAAUGGGCGAAAGCUUGACGGAGCAACGCCGCGUGAGUGAUGAAGGUCUUCGGAUCGUAAAACUCUGUUAUUAGGGAAGAACAAAUGUGUAAGUAACUAUGCACGUCUUGACGGUACCUAACCAGAAAGCCACGGCUAACUACGUG